rnacentral:rRNA from 1 species
GGAGGGAAAGUUGAAAAGAACUCUGNAUAGAGAGUUAAAUAGUACGUGAAACUGCUUAGAGGUUAAGCCCGAUGAACCUGAAUAUCCAUUAUGAAAAAUUCAUCAUUAUAACUAUAAUAUUAAUUUAUUAAUAUUAUANGUGAUAGUGUGCAUUUUUUUCAUAUAAGGACAUUGUGAUCUAUUAACAUAAUCAAAUANUUAUCAAAAGAUCAUUGCCUAAGUUUAUUUUNNUUAAUNUACUUUUAAGCAUAUUAACAUAAAAUAAAUGCAAAUGAUUUGAUAAAGUGUUGAUAGAUUUAUUAUAUAUAGUGCUUAANUCUUUNUUAAGAUNUUNCAAUAAUAUNAAAAUCUAUGAUUUUAUAUAUUUAUNGUAUGCANUUCUAUGAUUAACAAUGCGAAAGAUUCAGGAUACCUUCGGGACCCGUCUUGAAACACGGACCAAGGAGUCUAACAUAUGUGCAAGUCAUUGGGUUAUAAUAAACUUAANGGCGUAAUUAACNUAACNUAAUNUUAAUGGGAUUAAUUUUUAGUCUAUUUUUUAUAAAUAUACUAUUAAUUCAAUCCCGGGGCGUUCUAUAUAGUUAUGUAUAAUGAUAAUUUAUUAUUAUUUAUACCUCUAACUGGAGCGUACCUUGAGCAUAUAUGCUGGGACCCG